rnacentral:lncRNA from 1 species
UUGAAUCUUUUUAUCUUUUUUGGAAGUGGAUUCAUUUAGCCGAUCUCUCAAUAAAAGAUAAGAUCAGGCUGAUGGAAUCUUGAUUUUUUACACACAACAUCGAGAAAAUUCAAGUUGAUUUUUUUUUUUACUGAUGUAUUUUUUCCUUGUCCGUAUUGUUUUGUUUUCUUCUGUUCUAUGAAAAUGAGUUUCGAAACAGGAGAUUCUUGUUUGGUUUCACACAGCAUCACGUCAUUGCUUCACAGUUUAGCCAUUGAUAAAACGCCACAUCAGGACGAUGCUCGUGGAUUUGUUGAUUUUUUUUAAUUCCAAGAAAUACAUAAACACACAGAGACGCACUCAUAUUUUUAAUUUCAUCUAUACCAUUUUGUAAGAUUCAAAUUGAUUAGAAGGUUUCACCCUGCAGAUCUUGGUGAUUUAUUCUUUGGAUCUAUGUAUACACAGUUGUUUUUUGCUGGUGCAGCACCAUCAAGAUUCACAUGCAAAGGAAAGGUGGUUAACUGAUACAUAUAUACUCUCUCUUUGUGUUUGUUCUUUUUUCGGCCAAACCCUUUUGGUGAUGAGAAUCUUGAUGAUGCUGCAGCGGCAAUAAACUACUAGCCCAAGUAAGGGAAAUGUCCAGUCACCACCGUGUCUAGGCAAAACCAGACUACUUUUAAAUCUCAUGUCGCGGGUGAAAGGUCUUCCUCAGGAUUUGUAAUCACGUUCAAUGGCUCUUCUUACACAAAGGAUUUUGAGGGUGAGUUCUAGUAUAAUUCUGAAUCUCAUGUCGCAAGUGAAAGCCUGGCCCAUAUAUUUGUAGGUAAUCACAUUCAACACCUUGUUUUACACAAAGACAUUUUGAUUGUCAGGUGGGAUUUUUUGGAAAUACUUAAAAGUGGGUUUAUUUGUUUUCUGUCAGCUCUUUCGAGACCGACAGAUGACUACCGAGGGAUUUCACUCUGCUGGUAAACUGCAUAGAUCUGUGAUUGCUUUUCUGUUCAGACAAACUGAAAUUGUAUGGUGGAAUAUAUACUUAUAUAUGAGCAGUAUAAAAUUUUUUAGAUAACAAUGGGUAAUUUUAGCUUCUUUUUUUUCUAAUUUUUUUCCUUGUUUUAUACAGCUUUAAUACUUAUCAUUGGAAGCUUAAUUACUAGAUUUUGCUUAGAUUAUAUCUGUUUUUUCAGCUCAAAUUUCAGUCUUGGUUUUGCUGGAGGUAAAGGAAUUCGCGGUAUCAGAAGUGGA